AAGGUAAUUCCUCCGUCCAACAAAGUAUGUCUCAACUUUGACAAAAUUUGAAUGCAUUUAUAUACUAAGUCAUGUCUAGAUACAUCCAAAUUUUGACAAAGUUGAGACAUCUUUUGUUGGAUAGAGGGAGUAUUAU
rfam:Brachypodium distachyon strain Bd21 chromosome 2, whole genome shotgun sequence.